rnacentral:lncRNA from 1 species
UUCUCCACCCAAAGUGAAGGUAGGCCGACCACGAGCGGUAUUACUGCCUUGGUCCCAAAAGCUAAGUUGAAGGACGUAUUUUUGGUAGGGAUCCAUUGUGUUGUUUGGUAGGUCCAUAAUAUGUUGUAGAGUUCUUCAAUCCACAGCCCUUUGGCUUGAUUUAGCCUCAUCUUCAGUCCCUGCAACAAAGUCUGAUUGGUUAUUUCAGCUUUGCCAUUACUCUAAGGAUG